CCCAAUUAUCUCUCAGCGUUCUUCAUCGCUCUGAGAAACGCAGAGCAAAAAGUACCAAAAGAACAGGAAAAUAAACCCUAACCCUAGAUUUUCUGCAGGACCACAAUGGACACCGAAUCCCAUGAUUCCCGUCUCAAGAAUCGGCGGUCCUUGUCGCCGGACGAUGAGGCCGAGAGGUCGUCGAAGCGCCACAAGCACCGUCACCGUCACCACCACCACCGCCACCGCAGCAAAAAGCACGAAGAGAAGAGCGGGCGCGAGGGUGAGGAGAUCAACCUUCCUCCUCCUCCUCCUCCUCUGCCUGUGGCUGUUAACAUUACUCGCCCUGAAGACGACGUGGAGGAGGGUGAGAUUCUCGAAGAGGAGGGUUUCGGUGGUGGCGAGCACGAGAUUGCGGAGAAGAGAUUUGAGUCGGACGAUGAGUCUGGGGAAAUCAAGUCCGUUGGUGUUCGGGACGAAUCUGAUAAGCAAAAUCUGGGACGUCGUACUGAGCACCAGUCAUCUGAUCGUGAACCUAGUAUUCAUAUGGAAGAGAGUGCAGAGAAAAAUGGUAGAAAUUCAAAGAUAUUGGUGGAGGACAAGAGCGAAGAUGAUUUGUUUACUAAUUUGAAAUUAGAUAAGGAAGACAGAGCAUGCCACUGGAGUCGUAUCGGUACUAAGAUUAACAAUGGGGUUGGUUCUCCAAGAAAUUCAAGUGUUGUGCCUCAAGAUGAAUUAAAUUCUAGAGUUAGCUCAGAGGCUCAUGUCAAUGGGGAUUUGGGUCGGGAAUCUCGCAAAGAGGACAAGAAAAGGGAAUCUCGGUCCCCAUCUAAAGGAAGAAGCAGGCAAAAGAGUUAUUAUGAAGAUGAAAAAGUGGGGGUUGAUGGAAGCAAAUUAAGCCAUCGUAGCAAGUCGUCCUCUCAAAGCACCGGGGACCGUGGAGAAUUCCAUGCCAGGAGCAGAUCUAGGUCAAUUGAUCAUGCUAGGGAGAGAUCUCGAUCCCUAAGCAUAAAAGAAGAGGAGACCCAUUUGAAGAAAAGGCAAUAUUGUGAUAAUGCUGACUCAUUGCAUGCUGAUAAAAGCAAGUCUUUGUAUGACUCCGAUGAUGAAAGAAUCGUUCGAAAGAGUAUGGAUGGACGGCAUGGUAGUAGAGAUUUGGUGAGAGAUGAAGAAAGGGAUAACACUACUAAUUACAGCAGAUAUAUUGGAGAGGACAGGCACCGAAGUCGGGGUACACAGGAGAGGGAGAGGAGCAGGGACAGGGAGAUGGAUAGGGACUUGAGAAGAGAGAAGGAACGCGAAUGGAUCAUCAGGGACAGGGAGAUGGACAGGGUUCAUAGAAGGGAGAAAGAAUGGGAAAGGAGUAGAGACAGGGACAGGAAAAGGGAGAUAGAACGAGAUAGGAGCAGGGAAAGAGAGGUGGACAGGGACUGGAGAAGGGAGAAGGAAAGAGAUAAGAUGAAGGACAUAGAGCUGGAUAGGGAUAGGAGCAGAGUCAGUGAAAGAGGUAGAGAUAGGGAUAGAGAAAGGGAUAAGGACAGGGAAAAAGUUAGGAGGGAGAGGGAGAGACAAGAUGAUAGGAGUAGGAAUAAAGACAGGGAGAAGUAUGAAAAUCGUGUUGAUGGCUAUGAAAAUGGAGAUAGAUAUAAACAUUCUAGGCACUCGAGACAUGAUGAAAAAGAAUACAACCAGUAUAGAACAAGAAAUGCUGAUUCAGCAAAGACUCCUAGUUCUAAGAGUGAUUUGUUGGAAGAAAAGCUAAAAAGAGAUGAAGAUGAACAAGGAGACUAUGAAGGGAAUACAUUGCAGUUUGCUGAGCAGGAAGAAGAAGAUCUCAACAGAAUCAAGGAGGAGAGUAGAAGGCGAAGGCAAGUCAUUCUAGAAAAAUAUAAGAGUCAGCAGUUACAGCAACCUAAUGAGCCACAAUCAGAAGAUGUGGAGAAAGAUAAGGAGCCUGCGCAUGAUCGUGAUCAAUCAAGUGCUGCUACUCUUGUUGUUCCAGAAGUUGGUGAUGGUAGGAGUGAUGGUCUAGAUGUCUAUGUUGCUGAACCAUCAUUUUCGGUGGGGAAAUCACCUCCACAAAAUGGAGUUGCUACUUUGGAGAGGACUUCCAGUGCUGGGGGGCUUGGAGAGGGUACUCCUAAGAGUGAGAGGUCAGAUGACAAGUUCUGUGAUGAUAUUUUUGGUGAGACACCAACAGGAGUCCGCAAAUCGGGCAAAGAAGAUGGUGUACGAAUUGAAAGGAGUGGUCUUCAUGACAACUGGGAUGAUGCAGAGGGGUAUUAUAGCUACCGGUUUGGUGAAACACUUGAUGGCCGAUAUGAAGUUGUUGCUGCUCAUGGUAAAGGUGUAUUUUCUACUGUAGUUCGUGCAAAGAAUCUUAAGGCUGGUAAUGGUGAACCAGAUGAAGUGGCAAUAAAAAUUAUACGUAGUAAUGACACAAUGUACAAGGCUGGUAUGGAUGAGUUAGUCAUAUUAAAGAAACUAGUAGGUGCAGAUCCAGAUGACAAGCGCCAUUGCGUUCGAUUUCUUUCAAGUUUCAAGUACCGGAAUCAUCUUUGUUUAGUUUUUGAAUCUCUUCAUAUGAAUCUUCGUGAGGUUUUAAAGAAGUUUGGGCGCAAUAUUGGCCUGAAGCUAACUGCUGUAAGAGCAUAUGCGAAGCAACUUUUUAUUGCACUGAAGCAUCUUAGAAAUUGUGGUGUUCUUCAUUGUGAUAUAAAGCCGGAUAACAUGCUGGUAAAUGAGGCAAAAAAUGUGCUGAAACUUUGCGACUUUGGCAAUGCCAUGUUUGCUGGUAAAAAUGAAGUUACACCAUACCUUGUAAGCCGCUUUUAUCGUGCCCCUGAAAUAAUUCUUGGCUUGCCUUAUGAUCAUCCAUUGGAUAUGUGGUCUGUGGGUUGCUGUUUGUACGAGCUUUAUACAGGAAAGGUUCUUUUUCCAGGUCCCACGAACAAUGACAUGCUACGCCUUCACAUGGAAUUGAAGGGCCCUUUCCCAAAGAAGAUGCUUCGGAAGGGAGCAUUUACUGAUCAGAAUUUUGAUCAGGACUUGAAUUUUCAUGCUACAGAAGAGGAUCCUGUUACAAAAAAGACUAUAAAGCGGAUGAUUCUCAACAUUAAGCCAAAAGAUAUCGGAUCGAUUAUUACAGGCUCUCCUGGUGAGGAUCCAAAGAUGUUGGUAAAUUUUAAAGAUCUUCUAGAAAAAAUCUUUGUGUUGGAUCCAGACAAGAGAAUGACAGUGUCACAAGCAUUGACCCAUCCAUUCAUCACGGGCAAGUGAAUCAUGUUGCUGAUUUUAUGACUCCAGAAAAUGCUGUCCGCUAAAUAUUUGUACAUUAUGACCUAAUUCAUUUUCACUUUCUAAUUACUGGGCAUUAUCUGUCUUCUCUGUUAUGGCCUGAGAGCUUUCAACACAGUUUUGGCGGGGUUGAAGUCAAAAUGGGGUGAUGUUUGGUCUGGAGUACUCUUUGCUGGCGGGUUCUUUCAUGGAUUGUACUGUUUCUAUCGAUGUCUGCCACUGCUUUGAGGCAACCCUCCAGUGUUUAGAUGCUUAAAAGGCACCCAGGAGAAGGCACUCGCACGGGAGGUUUACAGCUGCUGCCUUGAUGAAAGAGUAUAUCGGGUAUGACCCCCAUGCUUCUGCAAUUCUUUUAAAUUUGCUGAAUGCUUGGUACGAUGUGGGGUUAGCUACCCUACUCUUCUAGUGACUAAUUCUAUUCUGUAUGUGUUAAUGGAGUUGUAUCUAAAGUAAAUUUUUUGAGGUGUUUUAUCCUUGAGUAAAAUGCGGUUGAUCACCUUCCUGAACUUUCUACACUCUUUAACUUUGUGUAUAAAACUAAAAAGAAGCUGGCAUAACGAAAGUGACUGUCAGUUUGGACCAUUGAUGUCGGGCAAAUUUGGAAAAAUGCUUACUCAACCUUUGGGGUCUGAAAACUUGUGAUUUUAGGUUGUGUUGUGGUAGUGGAAGCUGGAAAAGGUGUUGGUGUAAAUUGAUUAUUUUGGCUUGAAGGCAAAACUGCAUAUCAUGACAAGAAAUUAGGUUCCAGGAAAAUUCUGGUAGCUCCUUUUGACUAGGUUAUUCUAUACUGUGUACUGGGUUGUGCCUUUCCGCUUUUUAUGAUAUUUCACUUAUAAAAAAAGGUUAAGGUGGGUUUAAUGGAGUAUUUAUUGGAGAAAAGGUUGGGAAAUCGUUGGAUGUACAUGUUUUAAAUGAUGCGAGGUAUGAGGUGUGGUUGGAGCUGAAAAGUGGCAAGAGAACAGCGAGUUUUAAGGGGCUGUUCUGGGCCUGAUGACACUGUGAAUGGUAACUUAAGCUUUUGUGAGUAUAGGAAGAGAAGAAUAGUAGUGCAAGAAAGGAUGAGGGCACUGCAGUCAUGGACAUGGAGACAAAACACAACAGUGGCACAUGUUUAUAGCAAAUCUUAGAAAAUGACACCAACAUUGUGGGUGCAUCGCAAAAAUGAAACCAAUAUAUAGUUAAAAUUUGAAACUAUUUUAGAAGUUACUACUAAUUUUAUGUUCCAAAAUUUCUACCUUUUGUGAACAGUACUUUUUUUUAUUAGUAGUUAAGAUAUCAUUAAAGGCGUAAGGCGCCCUAGGUGCAUGGGAAGUGUACAUGAGAAAACACUGAAUUAAAAGGAGAAAAAAGAACAAGGAAAUCAUGAUAUCACCAAGGGCUAAACAAAAGCUGCUUUCCAAAUAUGCAAAGUAUAGAAAAAUAACAACUUAAUCUCCUCAAAAGUCCUUUUAUGGACUUUAAAACUUUUUUCAUGUGUAUCCCUCCAUAGACACCACAAAAGGCACAAAGGCACCAUCUUCCACACAGUAACACUUCAAGCUCUACUAGUAAUUCACCAACAUGCAUAUAAGUCAACUAGACGUUUUGGCAUAACCUAAGACAUCCCAAAUUGACUGAAGCAAACAUGCCAUAAGGCAUCGACAACCUCAUAUUGGAGAAGAAGAUGGCCCACGAUGGCCCACGGACUCCUCACAGUGUCCAUGGUAAGGAUCUUUCUUACGGCUGCCGACCAAGCAAAAAAGGCUGCUCUCAACGAAACUUUAGUCCAUCAAACACUUUUCAUGGGAACGUAAGCCAUCAUUGCUAUCCAAGACAUUGUAGAAGGACCCAACAACGAAAAAACCUCUUUUGGAUGUGACCCACCGAAGAUUGUCUAUACCUUCUCGUCUUAUACUAGUUGAAUACAAUACCCUAGAGAACUAGGCAGAGACAUCCACCUCUUAGUCAUGAGCUGCCCAAAAGCUCCAAGUGAGCAGGGACAUAAGCAUUCUUCGCACAAUCAAUGCCAAAUAAAUCUGGAAAACGCUUCCUUAAGAACCAAAUCCCUACACCGCAGGUCAUGUCAAAAACUAACCUUGGAGUCAUCUCUUACCUCAAAUCUAGUAUGCCUAGAGAACUUUCCCCAACCAGCCUAAUAUUAUCCCAUAAACCCACCCCAUACGUCGCAAGAGGUUCAUUAGAACACCACCUACCCACUAAUUGCCAAAUUUAAAGACCACAUCUGUCUAGCAAGUCAUUUCUCUAAGAGACCUCGAUUGAACAUUAAGGAGUUCCGGACCUUAGACUUGCUUACCAAGUGAUACUUGAACUCUUCGCGAAGCCCACCCCAUAAGAAAUCACAUUGAAGCUUCUCAAUGUGGUUUGCCACACCCACAAGGAGAGGAAAGAGUGACGACGAAUGACCUCAAGGAGUUUUUCUGCAGACCACAGUAUCUUUCUGGGGUGCUUUGACCUGGUCAAUAUGCAUGCUCAGUGAAAGUUUCUUCUUUAUUUGUUAAUCAGCAUAUCUGCGCCAUAUCAUGUUGUCAUGAAUUAGCCAAGACUACUUAGGUUCCUGCCUCAGGAGACUGCUUUUGUCUUGAAAAUUCGAUGCCUUUGCGUUAGAUUUUUUCUUACCGUGGAGGAGGAGAAUUUUAUUUACCUUGCUGUUGUAAUUGCUUGGGAAAGAAAAUUGUAAGUAACAAGAGGAUUGGGUUUAUGUUGGAUUCUGUCGAGUAGUUCCCUAUACUUGCUCUUUGUGUUUUCCAGAUUGAAUUGUUGAAAUAUUUGGUGUGCUAAUUGUGCUGUGCUGCCUAACAAGGCCGAGUCUGUGUAUGAAUUGUGGAGGGUGCUUAGGUGUUCUUGCUGGGUUUCCAAAGUUAUUCAGUUUGGUUUGCAUGCCUUACUCUAGAUAGUUUAAGAUAAAUUCUUCACAACAUUGAUUUCCAGCUUCAGCUAAGUUUAUCACACUGGUGUUGGAUUCCACUAAUUUUUGAAGUGUGUUCGAAUGAUUCUAAACAGCUGGACAAUGAAUAAGCACAUUUUUGACAGGCAAAAAACAAAAAAAAAACCCCUGGAGCGUCUCUGAAAGGGCACCUCAUUUUGGCUGAAGUGCUUAUCUAGCAUUGUUUUUUUUUAUGGACCCUGAAACACAGAAAUAUUUAUCACUCCAAAGGCCCCAAUGUUUAAACGAUAUUUAAUCAAAAUUACCUUGAAUAUACUGUGCAACUUGGUUCUUAAUUCAUGGCUUGACCUGACUACUUGUCACAAAAAAAUUAAUGGCUUAACCUAACUACAUAUGAAAUACAUGUAUUUAACCCUUCAAGGAGAGUUUCAUGUUAACCCCUUCGUCUUGCUUAAUAUUAAUGCAAGGUUUUAGUGGCUGAAGUACAUAUCUGUAACUUGAUAAGUUUGUAUGCAACACUACGCAUUUUGUUUGAUGCCCGUGAAAAAUGUCGAUUCUUGUGUAUUUGGGAAAAAUUCUAAAAAGAAUAUCUGGAAGCAACUAUGUGCAAUACUGAGGUUGGAUUUUCACUGGUGAUCAUUAGUGGCAGUCCCUUGGUCCCUCUGAACUUCUAGAUUUGCUUCCCCUUUCACGGCUAGCGUGGAACAUUCAAUGCACCUUGUAUAUAACUUGGAAGUCGUUGCUUUCCUGUCAAUGAAGUUUCUUUCCAUAAUCAUCUGUUUGUCUGUUUGAGUUAGCAUCUCCAUUUCAUAGUUCUUUAUGUACAUUAUUUAAUAUACCUGUUUGGAUAAUUGGUCUGUGAGUUGUGUCUUGGAAUGGUAUGGUCUGGACAUGGUAGACAUCAUUUUAUACUUCUGUUCUACUUUCUCUAACCUAGGUUUAGCUUCUCCAUCAUCUUAAAAAAAAAAUUAAACCAACUGCUGCUUGUUAAUUAGAUUUUUUAGCAUGUUCUGUUAUAUUAUUAUUAUUUUUUUAAAAUUAAACUAGUUUUAUCCCUUAGUAAAAUCCUAUAUUCAAAGAUUGACCAAGAUUUGUGUGAUACUGUUUUACCUUGAAAUCUGCCAACACUUAAAAUAAAUUGUAUUUUGUUUAGUUGACUAGGAUUUAUGUGACUUUUCAAUGUUGUGCCUCCAAAUAAGCUAGAUGCCUUUGCUAUUUGCAUUCUUCUGCAUUUCGCUUUGGUUGUUGCUGGUGUGUGUAUGAGAGAGAGAGAAAAAGGGUGAGAUUGUCCUGCGGAUGUUAGAUUGUUGAUGUCCGUUCCAGCUGGCAAUUCAAACAAGUAUGAUUCAGAAAUGGCAUCACAAUUUCCUGCUUCCUCUUCUUGCUGCAAUGUGGGGACUAGUAGUGAUUGGUGACCUUUGUUUUAUGCUUUCUCCUGUUGAUUAUUCACUACUAAUUUGUCGGAAUCCACUCUAUCUGCCCUUGUAAGCUUUAUUGAGCCAAUAAAAAACUAACUAUAUGAAUAAUCUAUGUUUAGUGUGGAAUUACAAAAGAAGAUUUUAUGAGGGUAGUACUUUUAAAGAGCAGUGUUUAAUUACUUGUAUUUGUAAUUGUUUGAAUCGGGUGUUGUUUUGUUGAUUCCAGUCAUGUGGUACUAUUGCUCCUCUUUUGUGUUUAUGCUCAAUUAAAAUUUUCUUGGAAGUGUCAGUGUGCGUAUACCCUUUGAUAAUAGGAGGGGACGGUCUGGUCACAGCUGUUCAUAACUUGUAAGAAAUCUGUACUAUCUGUAAUAUUUCCUUAAAAUAGAGUAGAAAUUUGGACUUUGGUUUCCUAGCAGCAAAAUGUUCUUGAGCAACUCUGCAGGUUGAUUUGGCCAAAAGGAGAAUCUUAGGAAUCACUCUUUUGUGCUGCACUUUGUUGUGGCUGAACCAAAUAAGCUCAGAGUCGCAGGUCACCGAGGGAAAGAUUUGAAAAAGAUAGCCAUUUUCCUUGUGUAAGUGGUGAGACUUUGCGGGGUUUUGUAUUGAUCCAGUCUGUUGGAUUGGUGAUACCAAGAAGUGAUAUGUUAAGAGGCUAAAAGGAUUUCCUCCAAAUCACACCAGUGAAAACACGUGCGAUGGAAAUGAGAGAAGCAUCUUCAUUUUUUUAUUUGCAAAAGGGUUAAAGGCCCGUGGGAAGCAGAUUCCACGCCAUCUUCCACAGUAAAAGCAAAAGCUUUUCAUUUAAUUUGAGCUUCCAAAGAUUAUUCCUUAGGAAGUUAGGUGGUUGUGGGUAUCUGAUGAGCUCGAUGGUAUCAGGUAUGCUCUGAUUUAGUGGAGAAAGUUCUGGAGGGGACCAGUUUAGGGUUAUUGUUGAUGGGAUUCCAAGGUUCAUAAUUUUGCUGGAUUCUUAAAACAAAGGACUUCCUAGAGAAGAAUGUUCGGGAAGAAGGGGUUACUAUUAUUAUUUGGAGUAGGCUUGAAGGAGGCGAUAUACUGCUAAAGAGAUGGCAUGGUCGUGACUCGAUGACGGGUUAACCUUUAAAAGGUCACCAUUGCUCAAUUACUUAGUUUUCAAAAGAGAAACACAAAGGCCAUCAUGUUUGAGAUGAACUUUCCAACACCUGUUGGAGACGAUAUUUGUAUUAUUUACCUCUUUCAUAGAUCUGAAACCAAGCACCCCUUCAAAAGCUGUGAGACACAGCGGUUCUGGUCUUAAGGAAACGGUUUUGAGUUUUACUAAGAGGAAAGCCCCACCAGAAAUUCUUGAAGAUUUGAUCCAGCUUUUUGCCAGGGGGGUGGUUACUGUUCAUAGCAUGAGAGGGAAUAGACGAAGCUUCAGACUUGAUUAGAACCUUAGCUUUUCUCCUUUUUCUUAUCGAACGAGGUUGCCAUUAAACUGAGAACAAAGGAGUCAAGAUGCAUUUCUAGAUCCAACUUGUCCAAAUAGAGCAGAAACUGAGAUGGUUGAAGAUGGAUAACAGAAACCACGUGCAACACUGGUUCGUGAUUGUAUUAAGGAGUUCAUGGGUUUAAUUAUCUUUGUUAGCUCUCAUGGCCACAAAAGCCAACUAGUUUGGGGCUAUGAUUUUUGGGAGCAGGUUCUUAAUGUGGUUAGCUAGAUAUUUGGAGAUAAUUUGGCAGCUGAUGUUACAAACGCUUAUAAGCCGUAAAAGAUUGACAUUGCUGGAUCUCACUUGUUUA